AGUGAACGCUGGCGGUAGGCCUAACACAUGCAAGUCGAACGGCAGCACAGUAAGAGCUUGCUCUUACGGGUGGCGAGUGGCGGACGGGUGAGGAAUACAUCGGAAUCUACUUUUUCGUGGGGGAUAACGUAGGGAAACUUAUGCUAAUACCGCAUACGACCUACGGGUGAAAGCAGGGGAUCUUCGGACCUUGCGCGAUUGAAUGAGCCGAUGUCGGAUUAGCUAGUUGGCGGGGUAAAGGCCCACCAAGGCGACGAUCCGUAGCUGGUCUGAGAGGAUGAUCAGCCACACUGGAACUGAGACACGGUCCAGACUCCUACGGUAGGCAGCAGUGGGGAAUAUUGGACAAUGGGCGCAAGCCUGAUCCAGCCAUACCGCGUGGGUGAAGAAGGCCUUCGGGUUGUAAAGCCCUUUUGUUGGGAAAGAAAAGCAGCAGGUUAAUACCCCGCUGUUCUGACGGUACCCAAAGAAUAAGCACCGGCUAACUUCGUG
rnacentral:rRNA from 1 species